rnacentral:rRNA from 1 species
UCGAGAAUCAUUCGCAAUGGGCGCAAGCCUGACGAUGCGACGCCGUGUGAGCGAUGAAGGCCUUAGGGUCGUAAAGCUCUUUCGCUUGGGAACAAGAGAGCCAGACGAAUACUCUGGCGAUUUGAGGGUACCAGGUAAAGAAGCACCGGCUAACUCCGUGCCAGCAGCUGCGGUAAUACGGAGGGUGCAAGCAUUAAUCGGAUUUAUUGGGCGUAAAGGGCGCGUAGGCGGGAAGAUAAGUCAGAUGUGAAAUCCCGGGGCUCAACCCCGGAACAGCAUUUGAAACUGUCUUUCUCAGAGGGUAGGCGGAGGAAAUGGAAUUCCACAAGUAGCGGUGAAAUGCGUAGAUAUGUGGAAGAACACCAGUGGCGAAGGCGGUUUCCUAGCUUAUACCUGACGCUAAAGCGCGAAAGCAAGGGGAGCAAACAG